rnacentral:rRNA from 1 species
AGCGAACGCUGGCGGCAGGCCUAACACAUGCAAGUCGAACGAAGCCUUCGGGCUUAGUGGCGGACGGGUGAGUAACACGUGGGAACGUACCUUUGGUUCGGAACAACUCAGGGAAACUUGAGCUAAUACCGGAUGUGCCCUUCGGGGGAAAGAUUUAUCGCCAUUGGAGCGGCCCGCGUCUGAUUAGCUAGUUGGUGAGGUAAAGGCUCACCAAGGCGACGAUCAGUAGCUGGUCUGAGAGGAUGAUCAGCCACAUUGGGACUGAGACACGGCCCAAACUCCUACGGGAGGCAGCAGUGGGGAAUCUUGCGCAAUGGGCGAAAGCCUAACGCAGCCAUGCCGCGUGAAUGAUGAAGGUCUUAGGAUUGUAAAAUUCUUUCACCGGGGACGAUAAUGACGGUACCCGGAGAAGAAGCCCCGGCUAACUUCGUGCCAGCCGCCGCCGUAAUAC